GAUGAACGCUGGCGGCGUGCCUAAUACAUGCAAGUCGAACGCACAGCGAAAGGUGCUUGCACCUUUCAAGUGAGUGGCGAACGGGUGAGUAACACGUGGACAACCUGCCUCAAGGCUGGGGAUAACAUUUGGAAACAGAUGCUAAUACCGAAUAAAACUCAGUGUCGCAUGACACAAAGUUAAAAGGCGCUUUGGCGUCACCUAGAGAUGGAUCCGCGGUGCAUUAGUUAGUUGGUGGGGUAAAGGCCUACCAAGACAAUGAUGCAUAGCCGAGUUGAGAGACUGAACGGCAACAUUGGGACUGAGACACGGCCCAAACUCCUACGGGAGGCUGCAGUAGGGAAUCUUCCACAAUGGGCGAAAGCCUGAUGGAGCAACGCCGCGUGUGUGAUGAAGGCUUUCGGGUCGUAAAGCACUGUUGUAUGGGAAGAACAGCUAGAAUAGGGAAUGAUUUUAGUUUGACGGUACCAUACCAGAAAGGGACGGCUAAAUACGUGCCAGCAGCCGCCGUAA
rnacentral:rRNA from 1 species